rnacentral:snRNA from 1 species
AGUAAUGAAGACGUUCUUUAGAGGCCUUUUAGGAUUAAUUUAACUGACUGACUCAGCGAGGCAAUUAUCCCCCUCCUUCCUCACAACUCUUGUUGCCCUUCUGAAGCUGUUUGCUUGGUAGGGAGAAUGACCUUCCCAAACAGGCUGUCACUGUUUUGUGGUCAAGGAUGUAUGGGUAGCUACAUUCCCCUCUUAGGAACUCAGAAGGAGCUCUUAUCAUCCACUUGUAGGAGAGAAGCUUUCUUAUAGCAUUUUGUCAGUUUUUUGGGAUAAAGUGUUCUAAAUAACU